UACAGGGGGUGCAAACGUUGCUCGGAAUUAUUGGGCGUAAAGCGCGCGUAGGCGGCUACCUAAGUCGGAUGUGAAAGCCCCUGGCUCAACUGGGGAAGUGCACCCGAAACUGAGUAGCUAGAGUGCAAAAGAGGGUCGCGGAAUUCCCGGUGUAGAGGUGAAAUUCGUAGAGAUCGGAAGGAACGUCAAUGGCGAAGGCAGCCACCUGGCAUAAUACUGACGCUGAGGCGCGAGAGCGUGGGGAGCGAACAGG
rnacentral:rRNA from 1 species